UGCAAGUUUUAACAAGACCUAGACCGACUUUGCAUUGAGGCUGAUUCAACACUUUGUUCUGGAUUACCUUCUCUUUCUAUUUGCAAUGAUUUCAAGAUCGCUUCUUUCCUUCUGUGCAAUGUUAUUUGUUGUUGUACAAGCUGUUAAACCCUUUCCUAUUGGUUUAAAUACUGAUGAUGCCAGAAGAAAACGCGAAAUUGUCUCGUCUGUUAAAUCCUUCAACGUCGACAUGGUAGAUGGUUUCAGAAAAAAUCGCGAAGCUGCACGGUCUAAAAGAGCUGUCACCGUUGAUUUCGUUGUACUAACAGCAGCAAAAAAAACAGACAAGACAACAAAAAAAAACACGAUUAUAAAGAGUUAUAUUACCCCAUCUCCAAAGCAAUUUCAACUAUAUAUGUAUGUAUUUUUCAAUGCAGGCAUAAAGAAUAAAAAUUAGUGUAGAAACCAG